rnacentral:snRNA from 1 species
GUACUUGUUUCAGCAGCAUAUAUACUAAAAUUGAAAUGAUGCAGAGAAGAUAAUUUGCUCCUGGUGCAAUGAUGGCACAAAUUCAUAAAGCAUAUUUUU